GAACGCAAAUUGCACUCUCUGGUAUUCCGGGGAGUAUGCCUGUUUGAGGGUCAGUUUAAAUAAAAAUCGAUGUGUCGCUUUUGUGACGCUUCGGAAUUGGGUCACCUUGAUCUCUGGGUUAAGAGGCCUAAAAUUGAUACCUUUCCGAGCAUCUUGGACGUACGUAACCUUUCAAGUGCCGGAUCUUUUUACUAGGUAUGACCAUGCUGUGCGUGGCCUCGUACCUAUAACGUGUACUCAUAUUUUGACCUCAAAUCAGGUAGGAACACCCGCUGAACUUA
rnacentral:misc_RNA from 1 species